UAACUUUUGACAACGGAUCUCUUGGUUCUCCCAUCGAUGAAGAACGCAGCGAAACGCGAUAGGUAAUGUGAAUUGCAGAAUUCAGUGAAUCAUCGAAUCUUUGAACGCAUCUUGCGCUCCUUGGUAUUCCUCGGAGCAUGCCUGUUUGAGUGUC
rnacentral:rRNA from 2 species